AUGAUCUCACGGCGAAGCCUUAGGGGAAAUGAUCGGGGAGGUUUGCUUUAUGCAGUGGUAUCAAGAUAUUGGAGAAACGAAAAAGUUUUCACAUACCUCCCGACGGCGAUAGAGACGGAGGUGUGCUAUAAUGAAGGUUUCAACGUUCAGAUCGAUCCUCUUGAUAGUGGGAUUGAGAAGUCAUUGGAAAACUGGAAUAUCAUUGAAUCAAGAAGAAGUUUGGCCUUGAAGAAUGAAAAUUUAAUCAAGAGGAUAAAAGUCAGGGGCAUGAAGACCAUGGAAGAAUCAUGA